rnacentral:rRNA from 1 species
UACGAAGGGGGCUAGCGUUGCUCGGAAUUACUGGGCGUAAAGGGCACGCGUAGGCGGCACUGUUAGUCAGGCGUGAAAUUCCUGGGCUCAACCUGGGGACUGCGCUUGAUACGGCAGAGCUAGAGGAUGGAAGAGGCUCGCGGAAUUCCCAGUGUAGAGGUGAAAAUUCGUAGAUAUUGGGAAGAACACCGGUGGCGAAGGCGGCGAGCUGGUCCAUUACUGACGCUGAGGCGCGACAGCGUGGGGGAGCAAACAGG